rnacentral:rRNA from 1 species
AGUGAACGCUGGCGGUAGGCCUAACACAUGCAAGUCGAACGGCAGCACAGUAAGAGCUUGCUCUUACGGGUGGCGAGUGGCGGACGGGUGAGGAAUACAUCGGAAUCCACUUUUUCGUGGGGGAUAACGUAGGGAAACUUACGCUAAUACCGCAUACGACCUACGGGUGAAAGCAGGGGAUCUUCUGACCUUGCGCGAUUGAAUGAGCCGAUAUCGGAGUAGCUAGUUGGCGGGGUAAAGGCCCACCAAGGCGACGAUCCGUAGCUGGUCUGAGAGGAUGGUCCGCCACACUGGAACUGAGACAGGGUCCAGACUCCUACGGGAAGCAGCAGUGGGGAAUAUUGGGCAAGGAGCGCGAGCCUGAUCCAGCCAUACCGCGUGUGUGAAGAAGGCCUUCGGGUUGUAAAGCCAUUUUGUUGGGAAAGAAAAGCAGCAGGUUAAUACCCCACUGUUAUGACGGUACCCAAAGAAUAAGCACCGGCUAACUUCGUG